AUCGAGGAUUGGAACAUCCUCGUGAACGAGGAAUUCCUAGUAAGCGUGGUUCAUCAUACCACAUUGAUUACGUCCCUGCCUUUUGUACACACCGCCCGUCGCUCCUACCGAUGGGACGAAGAGAUGAACCUGGCGGACCAAAC
rnacentral:rRNA from 1 species